rnacentral:rRNA from 1 species
AACGAACGCUGGCGGUAUGCUUAACACAUGCAAGUCGAACGAACAAAAUUGGGGCUUGCUCCAAUUUUAGUGAGUGGCAAACGGGUGAGUAACACGUGGGAAUCUACCUAUCAGUACGGAAUAACAUUUGGAAACAGAUGCUAAUACCGUAUAUUCUCCAAGGAGGAAAGAUUUAUCACUGAUAGAUGAGCCCGCGCAAGAUUAGGUAGUUGGUAGGGUAAUGGCCUACCAAGCCGACGAUCUUUAGCUGGUCUGAGAGGAUGAUCAGCCACACUGGGACUGAGACACGGCCCAGACUCCUACGGGAGGCAGCAGUGGGGAAUAUUGGACAAUGGGCGAAAGCCUGAUCCAGCAAUACCGCGUGAAUGAUGAAGGCCUUAGGGUUGUAAAGUUCUUUUAGUUGGAAAGAUAAUGACGGUACCAACAGAAAAAGCCCCGGCUAACUCCGUGCCAGCAGCCGCCGCGG